AUUGAACGCUGGCGGCAGGCCUAACACAUGCAAGUCGAACGAGUGGCGGACGGGUGCGUAAUGUCUGGGAAACUGCCCGAUGGAGGGGGAUAACUACUGGAAACGGUAGCUAAUACCACAUACACUCGGCUGUGCCCAGAUGGGUUUAGCGAGUAGGUGGGGUAACGGCGCACCUAGGCGACGAUCCCUAGCUGGUCUGAGAGGAUGACCAGCAACACGGGAAAUGAGACACGGUCCAGACUCCUACGGGAGGCAGCAGUGGGGAAUAUUGGACAAUGGGCGCAAGCCUGAUGCAGCCAUGCCGCGUGUAUGAAGAAGGCCUUCGGGUUGUAAAGUACUUGCAGCGGGGAGGCGUUACCCGCAGAAGAAGCACCGGCUAACUCCGUGCCAGCAGCCGCGGUAAUUC
rnacentral:rRNA from 1 species